GCAAGAUACCACGGGCGCACGGCGGAUGCCUUGGCACAGGGAGCCGAUGAAGGACGCGGCAAGCUGCGAUAAUCCCCGGCGAGGAGCACACAUCCUUCGACCCGGGGGUCUCCGAAUGGGCGAACCCAUCCACAGCAGUGUGGAUAUCCCCACCCCGAACACAUAGGGGUGGGGAGGACAACCCGGGGAACUGAAACAUCUAAGUACCCGGAGGAGAGGAAAUCAAUCUCGAGACUCCCCGAGUAGCGGCGAGCGAAAGGGGACCGAUGGCCAAACCGUCGAGCGGGCAUACCCGGCAGGGGUUCCGCCGACGGGGUUGCAGGGCCGCGCAUCCGGGGGCUGCCGCCCCCGGGCGCAGGUCCGGCUGGGGAGCGGAACGGCAUGGGAGGGCCGGCCGCAGCGGGUGACAGCCCCGUACGCGAACCCAGACCGGACGGCGCGACGCGGUCCCUGAGUAGGGCCGGGCACGUGAAACCCGGUCCGAACCUGGGUGGACCACCAUCCAAGCCUGAGUACUACCCUGUGACCGAUAGCGCACCAGUACCGUGAGGGAAAGGUGAAAAGCACCCCGGGAGGGGAGUGAAACAGUACCUGAAACCGUGCGCCCACGAGCAGUCGGAGCACCCUUGUGGUGUGACGGCGUGCCUUUUGUAGAAUGAGCCAGCGAGUCGCUGGCGCGGGGCGAGGUUAACCGAAAGGGAGCCGGAGCGAAAGCGAGCCUUAACAGGGCGACUUGAGUCCCGCGCCGCGGACGCGAAGCCGGGUGAGCUAUCCGUGGGCAGGCUGAAGCGGGGGUAAGACCCCGUGGAGGGCCGAACGCACGUCGGUUGAAAACGGCGGCGAUGACCUGCGGAUAGGGGUGAAAGGCCAAUCAAACCCGGAGAUAUCUCGUUCUCCCCGAAAUAGCUUUAGGGCUAGCGUCGCGCGUUCACCGCCGGAGGUAGAGCACCGGAUGGACGAGGGGGCUUCGCCGCCUACCGAAUCCAACCGAACUCCGAAUGCCGGCGGCCCAGAGCGCGGCAGUCAGAGCAUGUGGGCUAAGCUGUGUGCUCGAGAGGGAAACAGCCCGGACCGCCCGCUAAGGUCCCCAAGUUCCAGCCGAGUGGCAAAGGAUGUGCGUCCGCCCAGACAACCAGGAUGUUGGCUUAGAAGCAGCCAUGCAUUCAAAGAGUGCGUAACAGCUCACUGGUCGAGUGGACAUGCGCCGACAAUACACGGGGCUAAGCUGGACACCGAAGCGGCGGGAUUUUGAUUAACAGAAUCGGUAGGGGAGCUUCCCAUGGGCGGCGAAGCCGCCGGGCGACCGGCGGUGGAGCGCAUGGGAGUGAGAAUGCUGGCAUGAGUAGCGAGAGACGAGAGAGUAACUCGUCCGCCGUGAACCCGAGGUUUCCUGGGCAAGGCUAAUCCUCCCAGGGUCAGUCGGGGGCUAAGGCGAGGCCGGGAGGCGUAGCCGACGCGCAGCAGGCAGACAUUCCUGCACCGCGCACGCGGCGCUACGACCGACGGGGCGACGGAUGGGGGUGGCUCGGCGGGGUUCUGGACGUCCCCGUGAUGGAGCGCGGCCCGCGGACCAGGGAAAUCCGGUCCGCACGAGGGCGAGGCUCCGGACGAAGCGAUCAAGCGAAGCGAGUGAGCCCGAGGUCCCUAGAAAAACCCCUAGGCAGGCGCGUGCGCGCCCGUACCGCAAACCGACACAGGUGGGUGGGUAGAACAUACCGAGGCGAUCGGGUCAACCAUGGUCAAGGAACUCGGCACAAUGGCCCCGUAACUUCGGGAGAAGGGGUGCCCGCGCGUACGUGAACGGACUUGCUCCGGGAGCGGAGGCGGGCCGCAGUGGAGAGGCCCAAGCGACUGUUUACCAAAAACACAGGACUCUGCAGAAGCCGCAAGGCGACGUAUAGGGUCUGACGCCUGCCCGGUGCCGGAAGGUCACGCGGAGGAGUUAGCCGCAAGGCGAAGCCCCGAAGCCAAGCCCCGGUAAACGGCGGCCGUAACUAUAACGGUCCUAAGGUAGCGAAAUUCCUUGUCGGGUAAGUUCCGACCUGC
rnacentral:rRNA from 1 species